AUUUCCCAAAGUUUACUACUCUCUUCUCCUUUCCUUGCAUCUCUCUCUUCUUUUUAAUAGAGAAAGAGAAUAUAAUUAUAUAAACCAUGCUUAUUUUCUGAUUAUCCUUCCAUUUUCAACUAAACUUGUUUAAUUUUUGCUUUCCUUUACUUAAAAGACUGUAUAUACUCUACUUCAUUCCCCUGUUUUUUCCUCUGUUUUAGAGAUACGAACUCUAGUUUCCAUUUCUAAUUAAUUUCAGGUCACCAAUUAAUAUCUUCUCUCUUCGUCCGUGGUUUUUUCAAAUUUAAUUUUAGUUUGUUCUAAAUAUACUCUGCGUCAUCCUCUGUUUUUUUUAGAGAUAUCGACUCUCUAGCUUCCUUUUCUGAUUAAUUUCAAAUCACUGAUCAUUCAAUGGAAACUACUUCAUCAACCCCGUCAAGGAACGAAAGCACAAGGUUUCCUCCAAAUAGGGGCCAAAUCAAGGCUCAAAAUUUUCAGACUCCAAAGAGGGGCCAAAUCAAAGCUCAAAUAUUUGAGAGCUUCACCUCGACAGUAGUCUCCUGGGCCUCAACACUGAGUGGGAGGAAUAAAGAAGGCGGCACCUCAGCGCCUACAAGCUCCCCACGGAGCUCUUACAAUUCCGAUGGGUAAUUAAUUAAAUGGAGCCUAGGAUGAUCUCUCAAUAAUGUUGAAGAUUCUAUGAUAUUCCGAUGCUUUUUUGAGAUUCAGAUCAAAGCGUCCGUUUAAUUGUUUGGAUUGAAUUUGCAGGAAUUGAAGAAGAUUUCUUUUUUACUUCUUCUUAUUCCUGCAUAUCUCUGUUCUGUUGUAUUAAGUUAGAAGUGUGCCUUUUUUAGCUUUUAAGCAACUUUUAAGUAGCUAGUCUCUGUUGGAUAUACUUCUUUUGAUAUGUUCUUUCUGCAAGUUUUAGAUUGCAGAUGGCAUACUUUGGAGGUGUUUUUUAUUGGGUGUGUAUGUUAAUAAGUAUUGUACCAAUAAAGUUGAUUUUGUUUUGUAAAUAUUGUGUAAAUCUAAUGGAUUUUAUGGUUUAAGUUUUUAUGUAGACACUUGGUGAA
rnacentral:lncRNA from 1 species